CCGGCGACCGGCGCACGGGUGAGUAACGCGUAUGCAACCUGCCCGUUUCAGCGGGAUAACCCGGAGAAAUCCGGCCUAAUACCGCAUGUGGCCGAGGGGAGGCAUCUUCUUUCGGCCAAAGGAGGCGACUCCGGAGACGGAUGGGCAUGCGUGACAUUAGCUAGUUGGCGGGGUAACGGCCCACCAAGGCGACGAUGUCUAGGGGUUCUGAGAGGAAGGUCCCCCGCACUGGUACUGAGACACGGACCAGACUCCUACGGAAGGCAGCAG
rnacentral:rRNA from 1 species